UUCAUGACAACAGAAGCCACAGAAAUCCUCCUCAUCAAAAACAUGACUUUGAUCUCCGUCCUCAUCUGGACUCUCCUCUGCUGCUGCUUCACAGAGUCCAGAGGCCAGAUCACAGUGACUCAGCCUGCAGCAGUAAGAGCUGAUCUGAGAGGAUCUGCAACCAUCAGCUGUAAGACCAGUCAGAGUGUUUAUUAUGUUCUUGACACCUACCACCUAUUCUGGUACCAACAGAGAGAUGGAGAAGCUCCUAAACUUCUCAUUAGGUAUGCUACCACUCGAGCAUCAGGGAUUCCAGGUCGUUUUUCAGGCAGCAGAAGAUACUCUGACUUCACUCUGACCAUCAGUGGAGUUCAGGCUGAAGAUGCAGCAGUUUAUUACUGUCAGAGUUAUCAUGUUAUCAACAGUCAGCUUGUGUUCACACAGUGA